GUCCAAUUUGCAGGCUUAAAGCGGCAGCUGCAUACUGCAUCUCACUGAAGUAUUCAUAGAUCUUGACUCUUAAAAACUUUAUACUUGUUGUAAUAGAAACUGGGGAAUUAUGAUGUGGAACAAUGGAAGAGGUGUCUACUCCAGAUACGUAGUCUGUUUUUUUCUUUUGCAUAUGUUCGUCACAAAGGCAGAGCCUGAAGAUGACAUUAUAGUUACUACUAAGAAAGGAAAAAUAAGAGGGAUCAACUUGCCUGUACUUGGGGGAACUGUGACAGCCUUUCUUGGAAUUCCAUAUGGAGAGCCACCAAUUGGUAGACUGAGAUUCAAAAAACCUGAACCCCGUGAGAAAUGGUCAGAGACUUGGGAUGCCACAAAACAUGCAAAUUCUUGUUAUCAGAAUAUAGACAAAACGUUCCCUGGGUUCCCUGGAUCAGAAAUGUGGAAUCCAAGAACUAAUCUUAGUGAAGACUGCUUAUACCUCAAUGUAUGGGUUCCUUCUCCCAGACCCAAAAAUGCAACUGUCAUGGUAUGGAUCUAUGGAGGUGGCUUUCAGUCAGGGACAUCUUCUUUGCCUGUCUAUGAUGGCAAGUUUCUGGCCCGGGUUGAACGAGUCAUCAUAGUUUCAAUGAACUACAGAGUAGGUGCAUUAGGAUUUUUGGCUUUACCAGGAAAUGAGGAAGCUCCAGGAAAUGCGGGAUUAUUUGAUCAAAGGUUAGCACUUCAGUGGGUUCAAGAGAAUAUAGCAGCAUUUGGUGGCAAUCCAAAAAGUGUGACUUUAUUUGGAGAGAGUGCUGGAGCUGCUUGUGUCAACUACCAUCUCCUUUCCCCUAAAAGCCAUCCCCUCUUCACAAGAGCCAUCAUGCAGAGCGGCUCUGCUAAUGCCCCAUGGAGUGCAAUAACAUGUUCUGAGGCGAGGAACAGAACUUUGACCUUCGCUGAACUUCUCCACUGUUCUGCCAACAAUGAGACAGAUAUAAUUCUCUGUCUCCAAAACAAGGAUCCUGAGGAUAUACUUGAGGGUGAAGUUUUCAUUUCAACACCUAAUUCUAUUGUAAAAGUAUCUUUCUGUCCAACAGUUGAUGGUGAUUUUCUCACUGAUAUGCCAGAAACAUUGAUGCAACGUGGCGUUCUUAAACAAACACAGAUCUUAUUGGGAGUUAACAAAGAUGAAGGAUCAGCUUUUCUAGUGUAUGGGGCACCUGGUUUCAGCAAAGAUAAUGAUAGCUUGAUUAAUAGGACAGAAUUUCGAGCAGGUUUAAGGCUGUUCUUUCCAGAAGCAAGUGAACUUGCCAUAGAAUCAAUCAUUUUCCACUACACAGACCUGGAAGAUGAGCAGAAGCCUGAACAUUAUCGUGAUGCCAUGGAUGAUGUUGUUGGAGAUUACAGUUUCAUAUGUCCUGUAGUAGAGUUCACAAAAAAGUUUGUUCAAUUAGGAAAUAAUGCCUUCUUAUACUUCUUUGAACAUCAGUCUUCAAAACUUGCCUGGCCAAAGUGGAUGGGAGCAAUGCAUGGUUAUGAGAUUGAGUUCGUAUUUGGGUUGCCUCUAGAAAGAAGAGUUAAUUAUACCAAAGCUGAAGAAAUGUUGAGUAGAUCCAUACUGAGAUACUGGACAAGCUUUGCAAAAACGGGAACUCCAAAUGGGACUCUGAUUAAUGGAACAAAAUGGCCAACCUUCACUAUCUCCGAACAAAAAUACUUAACUUUAAAUACUGAAGCUUCAAAGAUACGUACAAAGUUACGUGCUCAGCAGUGUCGAUUCUGGAAUAUAUUUUUUCCCAAAGUCCUGGAGAUGACAGGAAAUAUUGAUGAAGCAGAACAAGAGUGGAAAGCAGGAUUCCAUCGCUGGAACAAUUACAUGAUGGACUGGAAAAAUCAAUUUAAUGAUUACACUAGCAAGAAAGAAAGCUGUGGAAGUCUCUAAUUAAUAGGUUUACCCUUUCCAGAAUGUCCAUAUUGCCCUUGAUCAAGUCAAACUUACAGGUAAAAUAUGAAAAUCCCUUUUCCCACAGAAAGCCUUAAACAGAAUACAUACUACGGACUCAGAGCCAAAUCCCAUUGGAGGUUUUGGUGCUGUGAAAGGCCACACCUUGAUUGAUAUUUGCAAUGGACCCACCAUUUACCAGCUGCUUUCUGCCUGCGAAUUCUUUAAGGAGAUCAUGGCUUCAGAUUAUACAGACCAGAGUUGCCAGGAGAUGCUGAAGUGGCUGAAGAAUGAGGCUGGAGCAUUUGACUGGACUCCAGGGGUGCAGCAUGUGUCAGCUGGAGGGAGACAGAUACCUGACUGCUACCAUCUAAAUUCCAUAGGUUUAAGCCUGCCCAUGAUCUGUAUUCAUCACUUCUGGCAACCAGCUGGGAUGUGCAGCCUCAGCAGGGAAAAAUACAAGUAGACAUUUGGGAGGAAAGAAAAGGUGCAGAGAAGGGAUGGUUUUGAAAGCUGGUGUUGGAGCCUGUAGGGUCUUAGAGAGCCAUCCACAGGGACCAGCAGGCCUUUUCUGACUGCAGACAGGGGCAGAAGGGAUCCUUAAAGAAAAUUCCCCUAGUGGAAGUGAAUUUUGCUACAAAAUGAAACUUGGGGCAACUUCCACUGAAUGGUCCAUAGCACAGCAGGCUAAUUCUGACAGAGAAACUACCCAAAUGCAGGCACUGGUGGCAAAAUGGCUUUCAAAGAUCCCCCAUUUGUUAAACAUUUCUCCAAGGGAAUGGAAAUUAGAGACACAAAACCCACAUUCCCACUUCUCAGACCUGUAACCUGGGGGAGGCAUUUAAAACACACCAAAACAGAUAACCUCUUGCUUUCCUUUUUCUCUUUCCUCUUCUCUCUUUGGGACCUAGUGGGCUGAGAAAGAUGGGAAGAUACAUAGAGCCAUCAAAUGCAUCCUAAAAUGUGAUGUCCACAAAAGCAACCCCCUGGAUCCAGUUGUCCUGCCUCCAGCUAACUGCCUGGUCACAUCGCCGUGCUUGGAAGCUGCCUGCAAAGAACACAGCUCCUACUGUGCUGCUCCAAGGAACGUCAGCUCUCUGCAGAACCCAGGGGGGCACUUGGUGCAAAGUUGAGAUUUGGGCUCCAGUUUCUACAUGGUUGGUCCCCAAAAGUUCUCCUGUUUCGUCCUGACAGAGGAAUUUUGAGGGGGGCUCUCAGUGCAACUGGCUUCACCAUUGAGAAGGCUGAGGUUCUCUCCAGGGCUUAUGUGGCCAUGCAUGACAUCUAUGAUUUCUCUGGGAUGUACUUCAUUGUCACCCGCAAAAAUUAAAGUGAUUAAAUCCCUUGGAGAAUAUGGGGAAAAUUGUCCCCAGUGGGGAAAAAAGAAUCAUAUGAAGGCUUUGUUCUCUUGCUGGUCAUGCCUCUUUUCUCCUUUACUUGUUGUGAAGUCCCCAUGAUGACAGGGAAACAUUUUAUGUCCCUCAUUUGGAAUGAAGAUGUUUACUCCCAUAGAGGGCCAGUUCAAGGCAAUAACUAGCAGACCCUAAUUGGUAUCUUGGCCUUGAUCUGUUCUCAUUCCUUGGAAUGGGAUUGAUUGGAAUUGAUGGACUUUGGAAUUUAUGAGCAGAAAAGUCAAGAUGUCACGUAGCCUGAGUGGGAACUAUAGGGGUUUUCACCAUCUUCUGUAGCAGGAGACAUAGUCCUUUUCCUUGGUUGGUAUUUUAACAACCACUUCUUGUCCUUGCAGCAGCAGGACAUUGCCAGUGUCCCUGUCCUCCUGCUUUACCAGGUUAGGGUAUUCUUGGUGCUUUGAGGCUAUGAGCCAAGUAGUAGUGCACUAGAGGUGCUUGUCCAGCUUUAAGAAUAGGCUAGGCCAGUGCUUUCUGGGGUGCUUUAUAUGAUCCUACCUUGAGCAGAGGGUUGGAUUAAAUGACCUCCUGAGGUCCCUUGCAGCUCUGCUUUUCCAUGAUUUUCCGAGUAAAUAGCUUGUGCUGGCUUGUCUUUGGGCCACAGGGCAGCUGCUUCAUUUAUCUGGUGACAUCUCCAGACAACAGCCCUGUUGAAAUGGAUGGGACUACUUGAGUGAGUAAAUACUCAGCUGUGUGGAUAAGAGCUGGCAGGUUCUUUGUGUAGAUGUGAUAUCUUUUAUUAGACCAACUAAGUUGUUGGAAAAAAUUGUUCUUUACAAGUUUUCAGGCACAAACACCCUUCUUCAGGCAAGGGAAACUCUGGAUACUCUUCCCAUUUCAACAGUGGCACCCAAUACUGAGACAUACUUUCCAGGCUACGCUGCACUGCUGAAAGACAAGUGCGGGGGCAUAGUAGCAACUUAGUCACUGCAGCAACAAAACAAAAAAAAAUUCCUUUGCAGUAGAUGUUCCAGUAGAAAGAUACUGAUAAGCAUACCUUAAAUUUUGUGUGAUUCUUAAAUGCUUUCUGCUCACCCACUCCUUUGGCUUUGGCAUUUUCUGAAGCAAAUGUCCAGGAAGCCACAUAGCAAGAGUAAUGCUGUUCUCUGUCAUGGCGGUUGUUCUUCUUCUUGCUCUCCAUGUUCUUGGCACUUCCAGGUAACUCAAUGGAUUCUGCUCAAGUGUUUGUCAAAUCUCAUGUUACUUCUUGAAAUUACCUGUGGUGCGGCAUGAAAAAUGGAAUCUUUUUUCCCCCAUAAAAAAGACAGUUUUAUUAAAUAUUCCCAGUGAUGAACAUGAGAGACUGGCUCUACUAGACCUAAACCAAUGUAUUACGUGUGGCUUUCCACUGUUUCCA